rnacentral:rRNA from 1 species
CCUACGGGGGGCAGCAGUGGGGAAUAUUGGACAAUGGGGGCAACCCUGAUCCAGCCAUGCCGCGUGUGUGAAGAAGGCCCUCGGGUUGUAAAGCACUUUCAGUGAGGAAGAACGCCUGGUGGUUAAUACCCAUCAGGAAAGACAUCACUCACAGAAGAAGCACCGGCUAACUCCGUGCCAGCAGCCGCGGUAAUACGGAGGGUGCGAGCGUUAAUCGGAAUUACUGGGCGUAAAGCGCGCGUAGGUGGCUUGAUAAGCCGGUUGUGAAAGCCCCGGGCUCAACCUGGGAACGGCAUCCGGAACUGUCAAGCUAGAGUGCAGGAGAGGAAGGUAGAUUUCCCGGUGUAGCGGUGAAAUGCGUAGAGAUCGGGAGGAAUACCAGUGGCGAAGGCGGCCUUCUGGACUGACACUGACACUGAGGUGCGAAAGCGUGGGUAGCAAACAGGAUUAGAUACCCCAGUAGUC